rnacentral:rRNA from 1 species
AGUGAACGCUGGCGGUAGGCCUAACACAUGCAAGUCGAACGGCAGCACAGUAAGAGCUUGCUCUUACGGGUGGCGAGUGGCGGACGGGUGAGGAAUACAUCGGAAUCUACUUUUUCGUGGGGGAUAACGUAGGGAAACUUACGCUAAUACCGCAUACGACCUACGGGUGAAAGCAGGGGAUCUUCGGACCUUGCGCGAUUGAAUGAGCCGAUGUCGGAUUAGCUAGUUGGCGGGGUAAAGGCCCACCAAGGCGACGAUCCGUAGCUGGUCUGAGAGGAUGAUCAGCCACACUGGAACUGAGACACGGUCCAGACUCCUACGGGAGGCAGCAGUGGGGAAUAUUAGACAAUGGGGGCGAGCCUGAUCCAGCCAUACCGCGUGGGUGAAGAAGGCCUUCGGGUUGUAAAGCCCUUUUGUUGGGAAAGAAAAGCAGCAGGUUAAUACCCCGCUGUUCUGACGGUACCCAAAGAAUAAGCACCGGCUAACUUCGUG